GGAAGGCAUCCGAUCGGUCAGGAGCCCCGCUGGAAUCGGGGUGCGGGGCGAGAGCCCUCGGUGGGUUCGACUCCCACGUCUUCCG
rnacentral:tRNA from 1 species